CCUACGGGAGUCAGCAGUGGGGACUAUUGGGCAAUGGGCGAAAGCCUGACCCAGCAACGCCGCGUGAAGGAAGAAGGCUUUCGGGUUGUACACUUCUUUUGACAGGGAAGAGCAGAAGACGGUACCUGUCGAAUAAGCCACGGCUACCUACGUGCCAGCCGACGCGGUAAUCCGUAGGUGGCAAGCGUUGUCCGGAUUUACUGGGUGUAAAGGGCGUGUGGCCGGGCUGACAAGUCAGAUGUGAAAUCCGGGGGCUCACCCCCCGAACUGCAUUUGAAACUGUUGGUCUUGAGUAUCGUAGAGGCAGGCGGAAUUCCUAGGGGAGCUGUGA
rnacentral:rRNA from 1 species